rnacentral:rRNA from 1 species
GAUGAACGCUGGCGGCGUGCCUAACACAUGCAAGUCGAACGGAGAUUACGGACGGAAGUUUUCGGAUGGAAGCCUGUAAUUCUUAGUGGCGGACGGGUGAGUAACGCGUGGGCAACCUGCCCUAUACAGGGGGAUAGCAGCUGGAAACGGCUGGUAAGACCGCAUAAGUCGGUUAAAUCGCAUGAUUUGAUCGGGAAAUGAGCAAUCAGGUAUAGGAUGGGCCCGCGUCCGAUUAGCCAGUUGGCAGGGUAAAAGCCUACCAAAGCGACGAUCGGUAGCCGGACUGAGAGGUCGGACGGCCACAUUGGGACUGAGACACGGCCCAAACUCCUACGGGAGGCAGCAGUGGGGGAUAUUGCACAAUGGAGGAAACUCUGAUGCAGCGACGCCGCGUGAGUGAAGAAGUAUUUCGGUAUGUAAAGCUCUAUCAGCAGGGAAGGUGAUGACGGUACCUGACUGAGAAGCCCCGGCUAACUACGUG